rnacentral:rRNA from 1 species
CCUACGGGUGGCAGCAGUGGGGAAUAUUGCACAAUGGGGGAAACCCUGAUGCAGCGACGCCGCGUGAGUGAAUGAGGCAUUCGUUAUGUAAAGCUCUAGCAGCAGGGACGAAAAUGACGGUACCUGAGUAAGAAGCCCCGGCUCACUACGUGCCAGCCGCCGCGGGAAUACGUGGGGGGCAAGCGUUAUCCGGAUUUACUGGGUGUAAAGGGAGCUUAGACGGCAGUGCAAGUCUGGAGUUAACGGCGGGGGCUCAACCCCCGGACUGCUAUGGAAACUGUACGGCUGGAGUGCAGGAGAGGUAAGUGGAAUUCCUAGUGUAGCGGUGAAAUGCGUAGAUAUUAGGAGGAACCCCAGUGGCGAAGGCGGCUUACUGGACUGUAACUGACGUUGAGGCUCGAAAGCGUGGGGAGCAAACAGGAUUAGAUACCCCUGUAGUC